UUACCUUUUCAGGUUUCAGGCAGGAUCUGAGGCAUGUAACAAUGUUUCCUCCAGAACUGAGCUAGUGGCUGGUGUGCAGAGAUACUUUUUUGCCACCUCACUUAGAUUGGGGAAGUGUACAUGAUGCUUUCCCCACCAUUCCAGUGGGUUUUUCUCCCUAUCCAGCAUGGGGGACACCAAGUAGCUGCUCAGCUCUGCUUCUAGUUUUUGCUGAAGUGACACAGUGGGUACAGUUGCAGUUGCCUCACUUCCUUUGAAAAAACUUCCUAAUGACCUCUUUGGCUUCUUUGCUUCUGAUGAAGACGUAGAGGGCUGUGUACUCUCAGUGGUACUUUCCCUGCAGCCGGCAGCUGCUGACACCAUCUCUGUUUUCACUUUCUCCUGAAUGGUGGCGACAUGGUGCGCAGAAAUGUAUGUUGUUUUAAAUCUGGGAUCAACAAAACUGGCGGUGUCCAGUAGCUCUUCUGUGAUGGGGUCUGAGUACUUCCCCUUAAGGUAUGCAAGGAUACUGGUUUUGAUUGUUUUGGUCAGCUCCACGUCAUCUUCCUCCUCGGCCAGCACUUGUGAAUUGAGGAUGUGUAGGACAGGCUUCACAAAUGAAACGGUCACAUAGUCUUGACAGAGCAUUUGUGAACUCCAUCAAUGGGGAAAGAGCUCUGUUGAUAGCCUCCAAGACAUCCAGGUCAGCCCAAGAUGGAAUAAGGCUGUUUUUAGCUUGUGUUGAGGCAGGCUGAGCUCUUGUUGCGCCUUCCCUAAUGCCUUCUUCUUCUUGCAGCUAUAGGAAAAGGCAUUGACUAUGUUUUUGCACACCCUCAUUGCUCGCACCACACGUUGAUCUUUCAUUGCAUUUUCUGAAAUAAACACACACACACAAAAGAAUAUAAGAAUAUUAAAUUAUUGAUGGUUUCAGAGAUUUACAAACUGUAGCUCUAACAAAAUGUAUACAAGAGAAAUGCCUUAUUAAUCUGAUAUUAUUUAAGUAGUUUAAUAACACAUCUACAGCUUUUUUUAAUUUCUACUCUAACGAUGACUUAAUGUAGCGUUUUGUUACAUUGUAAUGUGAGGUUUACAUUGUUUUAUUGUUGUCACAGUAUUUAUUUAGUGUGCUGAAGGACAAUUAAUAUUGAUAUAGCACCCCUUUAAACACAUGUAACAAAGUGAUUCAGCACAGAAAAGAAAAAACACAAGUCAUAUAAAAAACAUUUAGACGUUAAAAUGUACGAUCUAAACAAAUAAAGAAUAUAGCAGCCCGUCACCACCCACAAAUUCCCAACUAGAUUGAAUAUCAUAGCAUUGGUGCACUUACCGACUGCCAGGUGCAGCCUGUGUCCAAAACACUGCUGCCGUGUCCAUCCAUUGAGCUGUGCAGCUUCGUUGUCUGUCGUAAUGGCCACGAGGUUCUCUUCUGUUAGUUCCCACGCAGAAAGCAUAUCUCUCAGGCCCUGCGCAAUCAUCUCUGACGUGUGAUCGACUGGAAAAUAUGCUGUCUCAAGGCACCUGUUGCGCAGCUUCCAUUCAUCGUCAAUGUAGUGCAAUGUAAGGCUCCAAUAUGGGUCCAUCGUCCUACUUGACCACAGAUCAGAUGUGGCUGCAAAGUGCUUAACAGCCUUAAGUUCAGCAGCUACUUUUUUACGACACGUUUGGUACAUGUUGGGCAGCGCGGUUUGGG